CUUGACCGAACCCAGCCAGAGCGGCUGCUCCCGGUCGCGGCCGUAGGUGGCGAUGAGCGCCUGCGCCUC
rnacentral:antisense_RNA from 1 species